rnacentral:rRNA from 1 species
UGGGGAAUUUUGGACAAUGGGCGAAAGCCUGAUCCAGCAAUGCCGCGUGUGUGAAGAAGGCCUUCGGGUUGUAAAGCACUUUUGUCCGGAAAGAAAUCCUUGGCUCUAAUACAGUCGGGGGAUGACGGUACCGGAAGAAUAAGCACCGGCUAACUACGUGCCAGCAGCCGCGGUAAUACGUAGGGUGCAAGCGUUAAUCGGAAUUACUGGGCGUAAAGCGUGCGCAGGCGGUUUGCUAAGACCGAUGUGAAAUCCCCGGGCUCAACCUAGGAACUGCAUUGGUGACUGGCAGGCUAGAGUAUGGCAGAGGGGGGUAGAAUUCCACGUGUAGCAGUGAAAUGCGUAGAGAUGUGGAGGAAUACCGAUGGCGAAGGCAGCCCCCUGGGCCAAUACUGACGCUCAUGCACGAAAGCGUGGGGAGCAAACAGGAUUAGAUACCCUGGUAGUCCACGCCCUAAACGAUGUCAACUAGUUGUUGGGGAUUCAUUUCCUUAGUAACGUAGCUAACGCGUGAAGUUGACCGCCU